AUUGAACGCUGGCGGCAGGCCUAACACAUGCAAGUCGAACGAGUGGCGGACGGGUGAGAAAUGUCUGGGAAACUGCCCGAUGGAGGGGGAUAACUACUGGAAACGGUAGCUAAUACCGCAUACCAUCGGAUGUGCCUAGAGGGGAUUAGCUAGUAGAUGGGGUAACGGCUCACCUAGGCGACGAUCCCUAGCUGGUCUGAGAGGAUGACCAGCCACACUGGAACUGAGAAAGGGUCCAGACGCCUACGGGAGCGAGCAGUGGGGAAUAUUGCACAAUGGGCGCAAGCCUGAUGCAGCCAGGCCGCGUGUAUUAGGAAGGUCUUGGGGUUGAAAACUACUUUCAGCGAGGAGGCGUUACUCGCAGAAGAAGCACCGGCUAACUCCGUGCCAGCAGCCGCGGUAAUUC
rnacentral:rRNA from 1 species